rnacentral:rRNA from 1 species
UACGGAGGGUGCAAGCGUUAAUCGGAUUUAUUGGGCGUAAAGGGGGCGUAGGCGGAAUCGUAGGUCGGAUGUGAAAACUUGUGGCUCAACCACAAGCCUGCAUCCGAAACCCCGAUUCUUGAGGAUAGACGGAGAAAACGGAAUUCCACGUGUAGCGGUGAAAUGCGUAGAUAUGUGGAGGAACACCUGUGGCGAAAGCGGUUUUCUAGUUUAUACCUGACGCUGAGGCCCGAAAGCUAGGGGAGCAAACAGG